rnacentral:lncRNA from 1 species
CUAGUGUUGAUUCUUUGUAUUUUUUCUCAAAUCUGCUGUUGUUUGCUCCAUUUUGCUGUAUAAUUGGCAACUCAAUAUGUGAUUUGGAGCUUGUGUCCGUUUCUAUGAAUUUAAACUAUUUCUACAGGUCUAUUUGAGGGUUUGAAACUUGUUACCAUUGCUGGUUUGGUCAUUUUUCCCUUCCUAUACAGACUACACAUUUUGGUUCCAUUUUUGCUUGAAUUUCUCAACUAGACCACUCAUUUUGAGAUCCUGACAGUUUUCUUGCUAUUUCAUUGAUUGUAGAAUCAUAUUUUGAGCAUUUAAAGUUGAUCAUUACUGUACAUUUGGUCAAUCUUCUCAAAUUCUGCAGAAUUCAUAUUUCCACCCUCCAUUUUGAGUGAAACUAGCAACUUGCACUCUCAUUUCACAUGUUUCACUGUUUCUGUGCUUUGUGACUGGUUGCACAAGUUUAUUUGACCAAUUAAAACUUGUACCUACUGUUUAAUUGGUCAAUAUUGAGCUGUUUUGCAAAAUCACCAUCCAAACCAUCAAAUUUGCUUGAUUUUGGGAAGU